UACGGGUGGAGCAAGCGUUGUUCGGAUUUACUGGGCGAAAAGGGCGCGUAGGCGGUCAGCACAAGUCAGUUGUGAAAUCUCCGGGCUUAACUCGGAAAGGUCAACUGAUACUGUGCGACUAGAGUGCGGAAGGGGCAACUGGAAUUCUUGGUGUAGCGGUGAAAUGCGUAGAUAUCAAGAGGAACACCUGCGGCGAAGGCGGGUUGCUGGGCCGACACUGACGCUGAGGCGCGAAAGCCAGGGGAGCGAACGGG
rnacentral:rRNA from 1 species